CGAAUCAAUUAGGCGCCUCAAUUCUAUUCGUUUCCGGAAGUGGAGGCGGGACUUCAGUGCAAGGUCUCUUCCUGUUACCGGUAGCUCUUCUUUCCUUUGAAUGGAGCGCCGCGAGGAGUCCUCCUUCCAAUCGCUGCCCUCCGCAGAGCGACCAAUCGGCGUCCUGCUUCCUUCCGGCCAUGAGCCAUACAGCGCCUGCGCAGUAGCGAAGCUUCUUUUUGUGCUAGACAGCAUCUCUUGCCUCUCAGCUGCCCCUUUCCUGGGCAAUCCUGGCUGCAGCUGAAACCCUUCCUUAAGGAGAAGGAGGAGCCAAAACCUGUCCUCUCCUAAGAAUGCAGAUCAGGCCCAUGAAACAGAGAAUGAGAAUUCUUCCAGCUGGUUCUGCUUUGCUCAACCUGCAUCCUAAAUACUGUGCCCGGUUUGGGCCCCUCAAAUUCCGUGCAGCAGAGGCAGAGAAGGACAAGGUGAAUGAUCGAAUCCUCCCCUUGCAGCAAAAAGUAUUUACCUUUUUAUCAAAUAAUUUCAAUUUACUGUGAAAUCUGUUGAAACUGAUGCAAUUAAACGGCAUGGACAGUUUACGGUUGCAUAAUGUAUUGGGUGUAAAUUUUGAUUUAGGACUAACUUUCUUCUGAAUAAAACAAAACGGUAUAGACAACAUCACUGCUUGUAGCCUUUGUAGAUUUUAAGCCUACAUUUGAUUCCAUUUGAGAGAAAUCUUGUUGAACGUGGAGAAUACAGUACAAAUGAGUCAAAUGAGGCUGUUACAAAAAAAUACAAUUUAAACCACACAUUUUCAGUUAAGCAGGUAACACAAUCAUUCCCCAGCAUCUAGUAGACAAACUGGGCCUUUUAGGAGAAUACAAUAGAAAGGGAGGUCACUUUUUCUCAUUCAGCAUUUGUAUGAAAUGUGCUAACCAACCUGGUACCGCUUCAGAAAAGUCUCCCAGCGCUUUAUUUAGACUUUCACCCUCUAAGUUGUAUCUUCACUCCUUGACAGCUCAUUUGAUUGUCUCCUGCCUGAAUCAGUGGACCCAGAUUUACUGCUCCUCCAGGAUAUAGUGUCAACACUGCAAAUAUUGCAUAUUCUUGCUUUUGACAAUAUGCAGAAUUGUCUGGUAAUUAUGGGGUUUAUACAGAGCAGAAUGGGGAUGGGAGUAAAGCGCGGGAAAGAAAGAGUAACAAAACAUUUGACCUUCACACUAAUUGGAUAAUGUGCACACUAAUUGGAUAAUGUGAGAUAUCACGGCUAAUUUAGGGAGGGAACAUACUGAUAAUUUAACUGCUCAGAGGAAGAGAACUUAGAUCCCUCUGUUAUGCCUGUGCAGAGGUUUUGUAACAAUAAAAGACUUUUAGGAAAACAAAUGCCUGGAAGUUCUUUGAAGUGUUUCAUUAGCUGGAACCGUAACAGAUAGUAUCUCACAAAGUUUUGCUGGCCUUAGAAAGCCUCUUGUGUCUGCUAAAAAGCCUUGAAGACAAGUAGACCAUUGAGAGCAUCCAAGACUUUCAUACAUCUGGGGAUGGCCUUAACGUGGUGCUGACAUUUGAGAAACCUAUAUAGAUUAUAUCAAAAAUGAGAUGGAGCUCUUUCAUAGCGACAAAAAAGAGGCUAAAUUAGCCCUAGAUUCAGCCAUGUCUCACUUACUUCAACUAGGCACCAAGUGGGAUGACAAUUUAAAGGCAAUUUAUUAGUCUAUUAUACCAAAGAGAUUUCCCUCAAUGAAAAGGGGAAAUCCAGGACACAGAAUCGGGUUUCAUUUUAUAAGCCAUAUAAUAGAAAAAGUACAAAACAAGACAAGAAAUCAUCCUACUCAGUUAUGCCAGAGACAUGAACAGUAAGAUCCCAUAAUAUUAAACAUAACCAUUGAAACGUGCAUUGCAUUAAAAGGAGAACGUGAUAUGGGAAAGUGUCAUGAAUCAAAUGAGGCUGUUGGAAAAAGGGACAAUUUCAGCCACAGAAUUUCAGUCUGGCAUUUAACACAAUCAUUCCCCAGCAUCUAGUAGACAAACUGGGCCUUUUAAGCUUAAACGCUCUUUGUUUAACUGGAUUGUUGAUUUUCUUACCAACAGCCUCCAAUAUGUGCAAGUUGGAACAAAUACCCCUAAUACCAUUUUCUUGAGCAGUUUCUCCGCAGGGCUGCGUCCCAUGUCUGCUGCUGUUCACCCUGUUCACCCAUGACUGUUGUGCUAGGUUUUCCAUAUUGUGAAGUUCACAGUAGCGGGCCUUAUUCAUGAUGACAAUGAGGGAGCUUACCGCAAGGAGGUUGUGGGGUUGAUGAACUGGUGUAAGGAAAACAGCCUAGUUUUACAUGCCAGAAAAACCAUAAAAAUCCUUGUCAAUUUAAGAACAGGCAGGCACAGACACAUUUCUCUGUGCAUUAAUGAUUCACCUGUGGAGAUGGUUACCAGCAUCAAAUUCCUGGGUGUGCAGCUAAUGAGUAACAUUACAUAGCCCUUGAAAAAGUGUGUAAAAUUAUUCAGAUUCCACUAUUUGGCAUCAGAGAAUAGCACAAUCAUUAAACUGAGUAUAGCAAUAAAGGGAAUAAUAAAAUGGUGCUGUCCGUAAGUUUAAUUACUCCUGACAUUUAGGGCGGAGAAUACAAUAUAUACUCAUGUUGACACACAAAGGUUGAGAUAGCAAUGAAGGAUAAGGGUUCACACCUGUCUUACUGAACUAUACUUACGUCUGUACUUAGGUCUGUGAUACACAUUCAAGUAGCUUCUUAGUGCAGUAUUGCAGGCAGACUGUCCACACCCUGGAGUCUGAUUCUGAUAGCGCUCAAACCUUCACUGUCAUCCAUCCUUCUGAGGAUGGUAAAAGGCGGGCCCAGAUUGUUGACGGCAAUAUGCAAAUAAUGUUUACCUUAUAAAUCUCCCAGAGUGCCCUGUAAAGCAUAUGGGGCGGCAUAUAUGCCUAAAUGCUAUUGUUAUUUCAGUGGCACCGUUGUGACUGAAGGCAUAUUUAGCAUUUUUUUCCUCCAUAUGAAUUCUUUGAUGUCGAUAGAGGUGUCCACAAACAACAAAGCUCUUUCCACACUCAAGGUAUUUGUAUUGUUUUUCUCCCGAGUGCAUUGAUGCUUCCCACAGAAACCCUUUCCACGCUCCAGGCAUUUAUAUGGUUUCUCUACUGAAUGGAGUCUUUGAUGUCUGUAAAGGUUUCCCCUCUGACUAAAGUCUUCCACACUCUAGACAUUUAUUUGCUUUUUCUCCUCUGUGAAUGCUUUGAUGUUUAUGCAGGCCUUGAGUUUCAUUAAAGCUCUUUCCACACUGGAGGCACUUACAGGUAAUCCCCCAGGUGCGAGAGUUCAUUUAGCCACUUUUCACAAAAACGAAUUAAUUAAAUUAAUUCAGGAAGGGUACUUACAUUACAAAUUCAGAAUUGCGACCAAAAAGGUUUGUCUAGCCAUUUGACUUGGUUUCAGUCUCUACUGCCGUGGCGGCCAUUUUUAUCUCUCCGACUUUCCUUGGCUGUUCGGGGCUACGAGAAGCUGGCAGGGUUUAGGUUGGUUUUUUUUUUGGUUGUUUUUUUUUUUUUUUUGUCCCUGGCCACAUGGCCAAACAAGUGCCAAGCCAGCUCCGUUUUUUGCUUUUGCUAGCUGAAGAUGCUUGAGCUGGCUAGCAGCCGUUAUUUUUUU